CAGGGUGUACCCCGCCUCACGCCCUAUGACUGCUGGGAUAGGCUCCAUCUGCUAAAAAGACUGUUGGAACAUCCAGGGAUUGGAUCCAUUAACCCUCCAGUCACAAGACCACUUCCUUCAUCUCUGGGCAACCACCUUGAAAAAUGAAUUAACAAUUAACUCCUAGGUUAGAGAUCAAUAUCUUACUGAGCAUUUGGCUCCACUGAGUAUAAAAUAAAGCAGUGAGCAGCUCAGACUCAGUGGCAUAAAACUGUUGACAGGGUAAAAGAUCAAGUUUGAGCUGCAAAUGAAGCAGACAUUUAUAGAGUCUGAUGAGUGGCGUUAUACAUCUGCAAUCUUUUAAGAUUGCGUGUGAGGAGGCAAACAGUAACUGUCAGUUCUCCUGUGUUAGAGAUGAGCUAAGAAUAGUCAGCCUAUUAAACUGUGCAGCAACCCACAUAAUCCAGCUCCAGCAGGAUCUUAAUAAUUUAAUGCUGCUGAAUUCUGAUGCAGCGGCCUGAUCGGCUGACAAUUCUAUUCAAUUUACAGUUGACAACAGCUAACCAAAUGACCCUG